rnacentral:lncRNA from 1 species
GGACGCACCGCAAUAAUGGAUCACUCCGGCCGCUUUGAGUUAUUGAAUGCCAGCCCAGCAGUGAGUGCUUUGGUGAAUUCCAUGGUUUCUGGAGUGCCAGAAACGCAAGACCCCUCUGGUGCUUGCUCGGCAAAUUCAACCUCUGAGGUGGCACUAACACCCAGUCAAGGACAAUGUCAAGGUGCAAAAAGUUGUAACCGUGGUAAGUUGGUGCUUUGAUGAAUCUUGUGCUGCAGUCUUGGAACUGCUAUGAACUAGAAAUUCUAAUAUACUACGAAACUAGGAGCUAUACUAUGCUAGGAAGUGUCAUACUGAUUUAUGUUUUUCUUGUUUGCAGGCCGUGGUUGUGAGUGGA